UAUGCCAGGUAGAAUCUUGUAGGUUUGC
rnacentral:sRNA from 1 species